AGCAGCAUGAGCCUCUCCAUGAAAGCAUGAGGGGAGAAGACCUCUUCUCUGCCUUAUCCCAGGUCUUCCAGGAUGGGUGUCUCCUUUGAGAAGCAGGACUGCUUUUAUAAGUCUUAGGUCUAGUGGAAGCUGCUUCGGAGCCAUGGAGAAAAGGCAGCCUGCGCUGAUUGACCAUGAGCCUGAGUACACUGCAUGAACCUUUGGAAGUACCUCUUCUAUGUCUGCCUGAAAGUCUUUGAAAUCGGUGUGUAUGUUACACCUACAACACAUCCCACACUGGAGGAGCCACCCUCCCAGGGCGAGACGGCAACACAGGCCUCCUGGCCACCCACACAGG